UACAGAGGGUGCGAGCGUUGUCCGGAAUCACUGGGCGUAAAGGGCGCGUAGGCGGCUUGAUAAGGUUGCGGUGAAAGCCCGGGGCUCAACCCCGGGUCGGCCGUGGCAACUGUCGAGCUGGAGCACUGUAGAGGCAGGUGGAAUUCCGGGUGUAGCGGUGGAAUGCGUAGAGAUCCGGAAGAACACCGGUGGCGAAGGCGGUCUGCUGGGCAGUAGCUGACACUGAGGCGCGACAGCGUGGGGAGCAAACAGG
rnacentral:rRNA from 1 species